ensembl:lncRNA
GGAGAGAGCAUCCCCGUGAAACACUAGGACCUUCUCUGCAUUGUGUCCACCGCCCUUACAUCUUAUAUACAGACACACAGACAAAGAACAUUCCACAAACUCACAUGUUGGCCCCUCUCACAGGGGGGCUAUACUUUGUCCCUCACAGAGAGAAUUAUGAUCUUGUUUUCUGCUUGGCCAUUAUGUAAGGAUUUACAUCCCUGAUAAGCAGAUGGAGUCCCACUAUCUGUUUAACAUUUCCCAUUACAUUGGCCUCACUGUGUUAACAUUCCACAUGCAUGUAAACUAGUGACAGGAGUGAGAUAGUGAUAUUACUAUAACUAAUGUGAUAUGAUUCAAUAUGUGAUUAAUACAUGAGAAAAGAAAUCUGCCACCACAAUUUCAAAUAUUUGUUCAAUCUGUAAAGGUGGUCUCUUGUUUUUACAUAAGGUAUAGCCUGUGGCUAAGGGAUCAGAGGUAAGGUAAAAACACAUAACAGAUGAAAAGUAAAUUGAACAACUCUGUGAUCUGUGAAUUCAUGCUUUUCUCUUUGUCUUUUUGUCUUCGGGUGCUUUACACUUGUCCUCUCCCAGCAUUCAGCACUUCAGACACUCAACGUCCAAGACUGAGCUAACACAGAGAGAUACUCCACCCAGAAGACAGCCUUACCCCAACCCGAUGAGAAGGAUGGAUGACCAAAUGACAAACUGGAGAGUGGUGCUGUGUUCCAGCUAUAGCAGCUGAGAGUGGACAGAGCUGCACAGAGGACCAAAGAUCCACUCUCAGCACUUCAUACCUGACUGGCCACAGCACCACCCCUCCUCACCCAGGGUGCUGACCCUGUCUGCACAGAGGGAGUUGUGAACAUGCACUUCUGUGUCGGUUGGUUUAGGAUCCUCCUCACACUCACACUGAUGAAGACUGUCACUGGAAGAUGUCUCCAUUGCAUCAGCAGGAAGCAUUUGUAUUAGAGAUGGACCGAUCCGAUAUUACGUAUCGGUAUCGGUCCGAUACUGACCUAAAUUACUGGAUCGGAUAUCGGAGAAAAAUAAAAAAUGUAAUCCGACCCAUUAAAUAUCACAAAAGCACCUCACAAAACUUGCAACACGCCGUAACUCACCUCAGAACGUUAGCACGUCGUAGCAGUAUGCAUCACGUGAUAGAGCAGUUGUGGCAUGCGGGACCUGUUGGUGGUCUGGAUAGCAUUUGGAGCUUCGCUAGCAACCUGGCAUUUCAUCUCUGACAAAGUUAUCCCGAGAGAAGUAAAGCAAGUGUGUAAGUCCAUCUCUGAAUGUUUGUAAAGCAUUCCUGCGUUAAGCUUAACAAGCGACUGCCUCUUCUUGCUGCUAUUUCAAUCAUGAAACUGCUUAAUGAUCAGCUGAUCGGCUUUUCUGUCGCGAGUCCGUCUCUCUUGUUUGUUUUUGGCCCAGUUUGCACCAGAAAGAGGAAACCAGCGGCUGAAGAACAGCAGCACGUUUAAGCUUGAUAAGCUGUUGUUAGAAUUUAUUUAUUAUUACUUUCUACACCAGGAUCUUUUUCUACGUAGCUGACGCUGGUAACUGUGCAGGGGCGGAUCUAGCAAAGUUUAGCCAGGGGGGCCGAUAGGGC